rnacentral:rRNA from 1 species
AUGGAAUUCAGUUCAGUUUCAGUCCGAGUUACGGUGGCUGACAGCUUCUUUGCCUUGCUGCCUGCGUUUUCCGCCCGAUGGCGGAUUCACGCUCGCCCCUUGUCGCGUCCAACCAAGCCGUCGAACGUCGAUCGAGCGCCAUGGCCGUCUGCAACUGCAACUGCAAGAGACCUGCUGCCGUCCUCGACACGACGACACCGGCCACGCGACGACCACCCAAGGACCAGAAACGACCGGCUGCCACAAGAGGAGGCGCAUCCGGAUGGAUCAGCGGCACCGAGGACUACGAGGAGACGCGCGGCAUCGGCAAGGGCGGCUAGCUCCGGCAUCGUCGUCAAGGCACGCCACCGCACCACCGGCAAGACCGUGGCGAUCAAGUUCCUCGGCUGCACAGAGGACCCCGCCGACGGCACUAGGGAGCUCCGGCGUGAGGCCGGCUGA